UACGUAGGGUGCAAGCGUUGUCCGGAAUUAUUGGGCGUAAAGAGCUCGUAGGCGGUCUGUCGCGUCUGGUGUGAAAAUCCAGGGCUUAACCCUGGACCUGCAUCGGGUACGGGCAGACUAGAGUGCGGUAGGGGAGAUCGGAAUUCCUGGUGUAGCGGUGAAAUGCGCAGAUAUCAGGAGGAACACCGGUGGCGAAGGCGGAUCUCUGGGCCGUAACUAACGCUGAGGAGCGAAAGCAUGGGGAGCGAACAGG
rnacentral:rRNA from 1 species